AAACUUUCUCCCACAUUUCUGAAAUAUAUUCUUUAAUAGCUCAAUAACAUUCAGGAGCACUAGAGGCCAGUUAAAUUCAUCUAAAAAGGAAGGACGAGAUUUCUGCCUCACCCAGCACAUCUGCGUUGGGUGGGUAUGCCAAGAAAACAGGAAUCAAGGUGGCUAUCACCUCUCCACUAGACAGUUCCCCAAAUCCAGCCUAGACGGAAAGCACUUUUUUUCCCAGGCAGCCUCCAGGAAUACGGAAUACUUUUGGGAGGAGAAGAGCCAUGGACGGGUGAGUCCUUACCCCAGGAUGCACAAACACCACAGCAAGACACCAAUGACUGCCGGAAGUUCGGCGGUUCCUCCUUCUCCGGAGCAGCAGGCCCAGACUUCACCCGGUAGCCAUUAUGGAACAGGUCCCCCAGGGACUUCUUGCGGCGCCUGCCGGAUAAAAACCUGAACUCAAAGAAGAGAACUGGAAUAAUCCUCCCUUAUCCCACUUCCCAUGGUGAGCCCCAGCUGGGACGCUGACACAUGGCCCCAACUUUUCCUCCUGCCUGAUGUCUGGACCCACAGGGGACAGAUGGUGGUCCCUGGUCACUGAAGUACCCACAGAACCCAUGCAAGAGGCACAAAACCAUCUGCUUAGUGGUCAUGUGGCAGCAGACAGUAUCUCAGAAGUCCUCGCAGCAUAUGACUUCACUGAUGAAGAUGGAUCACACUUGAGCAGGGAUUCUUGAUCUCUGCAAAACAGCUCAUACACAACAGGAACAAUCUCACAGAUAAGAAAAACUCCAGAAGUUGGUCUCGGGCUAUGAAAAUUUCUGCCACAAUAUGAUUUAUAU
rnacentral:lncRNA from 1 species